ensembl:lncRNA
UUAGGACUUUAAACAUUGGAGCGUUGGGACAUUUAUCAGUUUUCUUGUUGUUGCUUGUGAUUAAUUUAAAACAAUAAAAUAAGAAUGUUACUAACAAUAUGGUUUUGUUAAAGUGCAGUUAUUAGUGUGAGAUCUUGUUGCAGAAACGUCACAUUAAUAAUGCAAAGGCGAUUAAUUAAACAGAAGAAAGUUGUUAAUAAACAUCACUGAGAGUCAUGGCGAGUAUUACGUCACUGUACAGAUGACAGUGGAUGGGGAAGGGUGACGUCACAUGGGGGGGAUGGAGAGUGACGAAAAUAACAAACAGGCUGUUUCUGGGUGUGGGGGUGAAGAGCUGAAGGACGAGCUUCGACUUUUACAAAAUUUAUGUAAUUUGGGUCCUGUUAUUUUCUGGCGUCAAAUUAUUAUUUCGUGCCUGUUGACGCUGGAGAAGAAAGUUGUCGUGUAAUUUCGAGUAACAGAGCUGUGAAGUCAGGGGAAGGUCUUACAGAAGAGAAGGGGAUGAUUUGAAGUGUUUGCACGGAGACGUUUUGCAAUUUUAAGUUAGAUAAAUGAAUCUUAAUUACCAAUGGAAAGGUAUUUACUUUGCAUUGAUGUUUCUGUAAUAUGGAGUAGGAGUAAUACGUGGCUACAUCAGGAAAUUAAAUUUGCUGUUACUUUGUUGUUUGGUGCAGAACUAUUGUAGAAAACGCAAAAAAAAAAAUCUAUAUUUUAUACAAAGUAAAAAAUAGUGGUAGUAAAUAAGUUAAUGCAAUUAGUUGGCCUAGAGUUUAAACUAAUAUAAUCAGCUGUCAGUCAUGGUUCACGUUGCAUAGGGUCUUAUUUAGUGCAAAUCACCUGUGUCUAUUAGAACACUGUUUUUCCUGCACUAAACACACCCGGUGCAAUGGUCUGGUCAGCUGAAUUAGGUGAGUAAGGAAACCAGUAAAAUGUCUAGGACAUGGGACCACAGGGUUGGGAUUGUCCAACACUAUCAAAACAUUGGAACUUGCAGAGAACAUACAAUACUUAGGAUUUAGAAUAGUUACAGAUGUGCAAGUAAUCAAAUAAUAAUCAGCCAUCUGAUCAUCCACCCAUCCUACUGAUCACCUAACCAUCCAUCCGAUCAUCCUCCCAACUGAUCAUCUAACUAUCCAUCUGAUCAUCCUCACAACUGAUCAUCCACCCAUCCUACUGAUCAUCUAUCCAUCCUACUGAUCAUCUAACCAUCUAUCCGAUCAUCUAUCCAUCCCUCCAACUGACCAGCUGAAGUCCAGCUAUCUGUUCACUCCAUCCAUCCGAGCACCCAUCUAUUAAUCUGACCUAUCCAUCCAUCCAGCAAUCCUUCUAUCCAUAUCUGACAGUUCAUCCAUCCACCUGACCAUCUAUCCAUCCAUCUGGCCAUCCAUCCACCCACCAGACCAGCCAUCCCUCCCUCCAUCUGAACAUCCAACUAUUCAUUUGACCAUCCAUUUAUUCAUCAGUCCAUCUGAGCAUCCGGAAUUCCAUCUGUGCAUCCGACCACCCACUGAGCCACCCGUCCACCCAUCUAACACUCAGUCCAUCUAAAACAGUAAUCUAACAAAUACCAGUUUUCCUAAGCCUUUAUAUUGUUUCCCUAUUACUUUUGCAUGUGAGUUACAGUUAUUUUCAUGCACCUGGUUAUCCGUUACUGAACCUGGGGUCCAAGAGCUUGUUGUGUUGGUCUUUAAUCCUUCUUAAACACUUCAUUCCCAUCCAGUGUGUGUGUGUGUGUGUGUGUGUGUGUGUGUGUGUGUGUGUGUGUGUGCGUGUGCGUGCGUGCGUGCGCGUGUGCUUGCUUGCUUGCUUGCUUGCUUGUGUCUGUGUGCCAAGACAUGGGUCUUUCCUAAGCCAGUCACAGGACUGACCAUGUGAGAAUUUGUAAAUGACCCAAGUAACCUCCAAACAGUAAUGAUGCAUUGGGCCAGUCUGGUGAUUGUAUAAAGGGCUUUGAAGCUUGCUGGGUAUCUCAAAGAUUUUUUUUUUUUAAUCAUUUUUUGUAAUUGUGUUUUUGAUCAAUAGCGACACAUGUCCAUUAGCCAUCAGUGUAGCUUGUGUUCAGGCUGUAGUUUGGCUUCAACAUUGACCAAACUGCACUGAUAAGACUUACUUUCAAGUUGAGGUUAUACGGAUGAGCUAUAUGCUGUCUUUAACCCCCAAAGUAUGUAGAUGUGAGUAUAUUUCUUGUUUGUAAAAAUGACUUUAGUCAUUUUUGUUAGUCAGCUCUCACAUUCUACAGCUCAUCUUUAUUAAACCCAAUACUUUGUGUGAAAUUCCUAGCUUAUGUAUUGGAAAUGUUAAGUUUUCUGUGUGUAACACUUCUUACCCUAACCCCUUCUGUUCCAAACAAAAUUUUGUUGAGACUAGAAGUUGUUUGCUAAUGUGUUAACCUGUUUAUACCAGCAGUCCAGUUCUGAUAUGAGAUCAUUUAUAGUGUUAAUACAUCACCAUAUAACCAGAGUGUAUCUGUAUCUGGAACACGUGUCUUUGUGCUGUAGCCAUAACUUGCCUACUUUACAAGCAGCCCUGUCUGUGUUUGUAAACUAGGGUACAUUAGCACAUUAACCAGAGUGUGAAUGAGAUCUAAACACAUGCCUUUGUGCUUUGGAGUUGAUGUGUUAACUGAGGGGCCAUUUAUGCGACUAUGUUUUCACCUAAAAACAGAAAACUUUUGUUGCAGCGUAUUGGGGCCUGAAAACGCAAACUUUAUUAUUAACCCACAUUUACGCCGAUGAAGGGUAUUCAAAACCUUAUAAUUAUCUUUGUAAUUGCCUGUUUUGGAGUAUAUCUGUGUCCUUUUAUUGCUAAUAAAAUAUAGAAAGCAGACUGACUGUCGGUGUCUCACUAUUUGCACUAUUUCGUUUUUUUUUCAGUUUUUAAAAUGAAUGAACUUUGUUAACAGAAUUCUGACCUGGAGCACGAGAAAAGCUAAAAGAUGGGGUUGAAGACAGAAAAAUUCAUUUCCAUAAUGAAAAAAUCUUUAUGCACAUUUCACAUACAUUAAAUUAUAUUACGUUAGGGACGUCUCAGCUUUUAUUAACUAAGAAAAAUAAGCCAAAUCUAUGCUUGACAAGCGUGACUUUUCACAAUACUUUAUGACAAGGAAUAAUUUCAGUCUAACUAUUGAGAAUCUAAGUAACUGGAGACAUAACUCUAUUCUGCUCCACGUAGAUCAUAAACCAUUGAAAUCAUUUGAGAAAUGUAAACGUUAUUGUGCUUUUUAUCCAGAAAAACUGCAGCUCGCGCGAUUACUUGUAUUUGUUAAUAGGGCACUCUUGCCCGGAUCAAUAUGGUGGACACGUUGAUGUGAAUGUUUAUGUCCGCAGGCACGUAGUGUUUCUUUACAAAGUGACAUCGCCAACUACUGGCCUGGCAUGUAUAAUACAGCGUUUAUUUUGAUCGUUUCAGCAGAAUGAACGUGUGAACGGGGAUCAUUUGAUAACGUUGUCGUUUGUACGUGAAACUUUUCAAAGACUCAAAGGAAAAACUUUUCCGUUUUUAGUACAUCGUUGUCAUGUAAACAUACCCUGAGAAAAGAGAUUCACAAGAACCAUACUUAUAAACGAUGGGCAAAAUCUUUGCAUCUUUGUUGUAGUUGUAGUCCUACUGCUGAAACGCUUCCAACAAUCAAGUGAAGUGUCUUGUGAAGAGUCUUUUGAACUCAUGCUUUCAACAUGGAGAUAAAAACACACAAUUUGCUUGCUGUUUUCUACAGAAGCCCUAAACAGCCAUGCGUUAUUUUUUUUUCUUUGUUGUCUCUUUUUUAAUGUGAUUACGACUUAAUUUUCUAGUGCUCUCAACAUAAGUUGUUUUUUCAUGAUCUCGACACAACAAGAAGUUGAUUUCUCGCGACGUAAUUUUAUCCAAAUCUCAGGCUUUGUGAAUGGGACUGGUGUUACAUGCACGUUGGCAUCUUCACCAUCAUAAAUGUAAUAAUUCCCCACUGUAGAGAUUGGCUUUAUCUCCACAUUAAGAGAGAGGGGUGUCAACUUCUCAAGUGUCGGACACUAAUGUGGAAGUUGUCAAUCCUGCAGGGACGACGUAUUUUUGUUGGCCACCCCAGAAGUUAGCAUCACCCUGGUUCCCUCAACAAAAAGCCAAUAGGAUUUUUUCCAUUUACUUUUGGAUUAUUGCAGAAAAUAAACUCUGUGACCGACAAAACUUUGAUUCUUUCAUGUUUCGUUCAUCAAGAUAAUCUUCACAAAUGAACACAACUUUUAUGAAUUUUGAAGCCUAAAUACAAAAGCUAAUAUUAGGCUAUAAAUGAACUACGCCACGGUUGCAUGACUUCAAUUUCACCACUGCUAUGCUUCCGACAACUCUUUCACUCUUAUUUAAAAAAAACAAUACAAUUGGAAAAUACUAUAAAUUGAUAAAUCUACAAGUCGGAAAGUUUGAAUUGGAAUAGUUUGCAAGGGCGCGAAUAUAAACACAACGAGGCUAUAGUAGAUGAGUUUUCCUGUUUGGCGUGGUGACAUUAUCGUCCCUGACUACCUCUGUAGUCCCAUUUAGCCACUUGUUAGCGACCGGCUUUUUCAAGACACAUAAAAGCUUUUUAAAAAUCCUGAGUGAGGUAUUACUGAUGUAUUUUAUGUCGUAGUAUAAAAUGUGAACAUAUCUUCAGCUUGUGUUAACCACAGACAUUUCUCCCAUUCAAAAACCCCACUGACUUCAAUGGAUGUCGAGUACACCGAAAAAUUCAUUCGAGAAAACGAGAAAGAAAAAAAUGAAUAAUGCAUGGCCGCUUAGGGCUUCCGUAGUUUCCAGUGGUGAAAGUGUUUGCCCUUUCCAGGGUAGCUUUAAUUCCCAGACCAUGCUGAACAUGUCUGAGUGAAAAUAGCUCUCUAAGCAGCCUGCCAGAUUAUCUCUAUUACAAAUUGCAGUGUUUUAUCGUUAAAAAAAGUUUUGGGCUAUAGGUUCUGCCUUGUGUUAAUGGCUUUGCUCUGAUAUAGCCUUUGGAUCCUUAUUUAUCUCAAAGGACCAUGUAUAUAUAUGCUACAGCAGAUAAUAACACAGGGAAGGCUUUCCCUUCAUUCCUUAAUUUUAGAUUCAGUCCAUUUUGACAUGUUUGAGAAGAAUGUUGUGGAAAAUCCUGACUGUAUUUAGAAUCACUAGAACAAUAUUGUUCAUUAUUAAUAUACUUGUGUGUGGGUAAUAUACUUGUUAAUAUACUUGUGAUAUGUCUCUCACUAUCAUGAUGGUGAAAUUUUGGCUGAUGAUUAAUUGUCUUCCACAUAAUUGCUAUUUAUAAAUGCUGAACAUAAACGCAAACUACUUUUUCUGUUUUAUAAAGCAAUAAUUAUAGAAAUUAAUACAUUUAAAUGACUAAAAUACACAAUCUAGGUUGUGCUAUCCUGUGCUAAUAUAUCUCUCUACAAGAGAACUGGUGAUGUGACCAAAAAUGCUAUCAGAAUAAAUUCUUUGCAUUAAUCAAUCUUGCUAUUUAUCAACCUUUUAUCAUUGAGCAGUGAUGUUCUCACAUUUCAUGGAAAAAAUAUUAUUUGCGUCUGGCUAGCACAUUUGUUUUCUCUCGUUAUGUUUGAUUAUGGCAGUAAUCUUACAGCUCAAGGGUCCCUUAGCUCCUUUAAUCCUGAGCUCAGGUUGUUGUCUGGAUCGAGUUUUUGUGCACAUUCUCUGUUAUAGCCCAUGCAUGAUGUGUAACUGCCUUGCUACCAGUGCUCCUGGGGAAGGUUCUGGAUCCAACACAAUGUGGAGUGACAAAAAAGCCAUGGGUAAUGCUUAUCGUGAUUCUACCACCACCAUGCUUCACUGGUGUAAUGUUGUUGAGCACUGUUGGGUUUCUGUGAAAUAUAGAGCUUUGUAUCAAGGACAGAAAGUUUUUCCACAUGUUCAUUAAGUUUCCAGCAUGGGCUUUCAGAUGCUUUACCAUUUUAGCAGUAUCACUCGAGCAAGAGUGUUGUUGUACAUAAUCAAAGCCUGUAGCCUUGUGCCUAUGGCCAAAUCACAGCUGGAGCUAACUGCUCUAUAAUCUUCCAUAAAGUCCAAAUCUGUGGAAUGUUGGGCUUUAGUUGUACUGUGAACAGCCCCUCCUGUGGAUCUCUCCAGCUCCUUUAGAGGCAUAGUUGGCCAUUUGGUAUGAGCUCGAGGGUUGCUUUAAUAUAUAUGCUUUUCUCUGGAAAUGACUAGCAUGCAGUAAGGUGCAUUUUGACAGUUUGGGAAGCCUUGCCUCGCCCUCCAGUACAAGUCAUGCUUAGAUUUGUCACUUGCGUUGAAGGCCAACUUCCUAUUUUU